rnacentral:tRNA from 1 species
UGGCGCGUGGUGAAAGGGUAUCACUCCUGGUUUUGGUCCAGGUAUUGAGGGUUCAAAUCCUUCCGCGCCAACCA